CUGGCUCCGGUGCCUUAUUCUGCUUUACUGCUAAUCUUCCUCUCCUAUUUCAGAGUGAGGUUCAUGGUGCUCAAGAGUUGACCAUCUGGCAAUUAGUGGAUCUUGGACUACCAUGUUCAAACUCCUAUUAUUCGGCUUGUUUUAUCACUUAGUUAUUGCAGGCUAGCCUGGCGAUUUGAUAAUCAUACAGUUACGCAUUUUUUAAAUUUAUAGUCAUGUAUUCUUUCAUUUAUGCCCACAGUGGAUUGUUGGCUAAAGACAAGAAACACAGGACUGCUGUUGAAAUGCAAGUGAAUAAGGAUGAUAAGAAUGAUAGUGAUUCUGAAAAUUCGUUUUUGUAUGAGCUGAAUUGUGUUCCCUACCCCACAACAAAUGCAUAUGUUGAAGUCCUAACUUCAAGUACUUCCGAAUGUGUCUGUGUUUAGAGAUAAGGUCUUUUAAGAGGUAAUUAAGUUAAAAUGAGGUCAUUAGGGCAGGCCCUAAUCCACUAUGACUGCUGUCCUUAUAAGAGGAGGAAAUUUGAACACAGACACACACAGAGAGGAGACCAUGAAGACACAGGGAGAAGACAACUAUCUCCAAGCCAAGGAAAGAGGCCACAGAAGAAACCAAUCCUGCCAACUCCUUGAUCUUGGCACCUAGUCUCCAGAAUUGAAGUCAACUGCCAUUUUAUGAGCUGUGAGCUGCCCUAUGGAGAGGUCCACAUGGUAAGGAACUGAUGUCUCUGGCCAACAGCCAGAGAGGACUGAAUCCUUCUAGCUACCACAGAAGUGAGUUUGGAAGCAGAUCCUUCCCCAAGCUGAGCCUUCAGAUGAGACCACAGACCAUGCACUGCACCUUGAUUGCAGCCUUCUGAGAGACCCUAAGCCAGAGACAUCCAACUACACCAUGCUCAAGUUGCUGACCCACAGAUACCAUGAGAUAAUAAAUGUUGUCUUAAGCUACUGAUUUUGGGGUAAUUUGCUUUGAAGUAAUAGAUAGCUAAUGCAAUCUUCAAUAAUAU
rnacentral:lncRNA from 10 species